UCAAGGUGCGUCCAUCUAAAACACAUUUUUAUUUCUAUUUGUCAGUAUUCUGGGAGGGCGGGUUCUGGUAAAGUUAAGAGCACACUGGAAGGACUGACUGCUGAAACUGGAAAAACACAGACAGGGGUUGGCUGGGAAAGGAUGUAAUCCUGCCUCACAGGAGUGUCCCUUCGUAGUAGGCUCCUUACGUGAUUGCAGGUGAAUGAAUGUAUGUGUCAGAGUUCCAGCUCAUCCAGCUGUGUGACUGGCCACCUCUUCAGGGUGUACCCGCUUUCGCCCAACAUUGGGUUGUUUCCAGCAGCCCCGUGAUUCCUACAGGGAUUCAUAGGGUUCUGAAGAUGGGUGGAUGGAGGUGAGGAUGAUGAUGAAGCGGAAAAACUGACAUUUCUACUGCGAUGCUCCAUUUUUAAUGCAAUCAUAGGUUCACACCAAAGCUCAGACAACUUUCCACACUUGCAAAAAAGAAACAGAGCAUUCAAGGAAUCAAACCAAGCAGCACAGUGUGAUCGUCUUUUCCCGCAUUAGGACUAGAACUUGAGUGGAGUUUUUUUUCUUUCCUUUGCUACCCUUCCCUGGAAGAAAGUGAGAGGUCAUGUCGUGUGUUGUCAACAUUCCUCCGUGGGAAUGACUCCAAGUGCUUGGAAAACUGUCCUGGAAAGACUCCUGCUCAUGUAUCACCAAACUCUGAGUGUGUUUUUACACUCUGAGUUAAACUGAAGCGUCACUAUCAGGCUCCCAGCUGCUGCAAAGCCCCUUUCAUGAACCUUUCUCAAGAUAUUUACUCCACACAAGAGUGUGUAUGCAGCGUCUUGAAGUGUUGUGUAUAAUGACUGUUAAUGUGAUUCGUGGAUGUCUAAACUGUGUGACACUUUAAAGAGACGUCAGAUCUAAACAGUGAAUGAAGCUACUACUGAAGUUUGGUGUGAUUUAUCUCUAAAAGUACCCGCUUUGUAUGUAUGUUGCUGUUGUUUUUUCACAUGAAUGACUUUCCUUUGAAGUUUCCAAGUUACUGCAGCCAGCUCUUCAGUGCUAACAUUACCGGAUUUGUUUCUAAUAGAACGGAAAGUUCAAAGAAAGCUCACAGAGCAUGGCGUCCCUGCCUGCAAGGCCUUCUUUUCUGAGCUGCAUAAACACCUACUGUUGGUAAAACAAUCAGACAGCAACACAACCAGUACUUUUUCCAUGAUGUAAUAUUUAUAAAUUAUCAUAAUCCAUAGUUAUGUUUUGACUCUCAGAGAUUAAAUCCACCACCUGGCACUAGACGGCACACUGUCUUUAGACUUGUGUUUUCUUUUGGUGAUUUAGAAGCUUGAGAUGUUUCAAAAGUCAAAGGUGGACAGAACACCAAACAAGAUUUGACCACAUUGACUCAUGAACUGGAAUGGGAUUAUUUUGCCGAAGCUGCCUUGAUUUAUGCAGUGUCAGUAUAACAACAGGUGAUCCAUGUUUCGCCUUUGGCCUGCUGCAAACAGACAUCGCCAAGGCCAUGUGAUAAGACAAUCAGUACCGCAGCCAUGACUGUUUAUGUGCCUGCUCAUUGGUUCCUCCGUGAAAACACAUAACCGAAGGACUGCUCUGCCACUCUGUUUAUCCUGGAGAGGCAGUUUGAGGAGUUGGGGUGGCAGUUCAGAUUUUUCCUCUCUGAAUGGGUAAUCUAACCAGUUCACCAAAGAUGCCACUCCCAGAGUCUCUGAAAAUGGCAUGGCUUCCUACUCGUCAAAGGAUCUUUCACAAAUACAUUAGCUGAGUUCUUUUGCUCCUUUUUCCGAUGUUUGCUCAAGGGUGGAAGAGCUCGAUCAUUUGAGAGCUGAGAGGUGUAGGUUUGGAUCAGUUGACUUACUGGACUGACUGGCCCCUUCCCCCUCAUGUUUGAAAUAGGAAGUACCCACUAGCUCCAAGAAGCCAAAAUCCCACAGACUUCUACGGAGAAAUAAACACUCAAUCAUUCAAUUUGUCAGAAUAAUCAUUAUUGCUCUACCUUUUUUAACAUGUUCUUGUUUAUCCUUUUCAAGAUAUUUUUUCUGUAGUGCACGUUUUUCAAGUUACUGACAAUCAGAUGCCUCAAUAAAUACAGGUGGUCUCACAUUGAAUGUUUGAAAAGUUUGAUUGACAGGUACUUUCAGUGGGAGGGGUGUGGCCUUCCGACAAGCUCUGGCCAAUCACUGCUUACUGACGAUUACUAGUUCCAACAUGGCAUGGCACAUGUCAUGAAAAAGUGGUGUCUGAAUUAAAAAACCUUUUUUCUGGGUGACGUAACUCACUAGCCUGGUCUACUUCUCUUCACACUGCAUCCACUUUCAGUGUUCAUUUUCAUCCAUUUAUUUAUUUGUUCCUUUCAUGAAAAUUGUUGAAUGUCCAAUAUGUUUACAUGUUUGUAUUACAACAUUGAAAAUUGCCAUGAUUGGAAGGGAGCAGAAUUGAAAAAUACAAUUCUUAUAGUUGUCUGCUCCCUUUUAAACAUUGCAUCAUAGUUACAUUUCCCACACCAUCACCUGUGCUCAGAUUUCACCAUAUGCAGUUCAGAUAAACACAGUAAAUACAUUCCAUUCAUUUAGUACAUACAUUCCAAACAUUUCAUUCAACAAUCAAGUUUGUACAAACUAAUUUGUUUUGCUUUACACAUCCGUUUAAAUUGAAUAAUAUUUUGACAACUUUUUAACUGAUUCUCCUGGGAAUGCCACAUUUUUACCCCUACUAUAGACAAACAUUUUUGCUUUAAUGUUUUUCCAGCAAUAUGUUGUUUAAAAUCACAUUUUCUCCUAUAAUUUUCAUCUCCUGUUGUAUAAAUUAAAAAGCUUUUGUAGGUCUUUA